UAUAGACAGGUCUUGGACCUUGUGAGGGGGUUAGGCUCCCAUUAGAUUGAGGGAGGUUAUGCUCCCAGAUACUGAUUGUAAACUACUUUUGUUGAUGAGAAUACAGAUAAUUCAUUAUUUUCCAAUUGUUUUCUUGUUGUGAUUGUGUGAGUGAGUUGUCUUAGUUAGGCUUCAAAACCAGAUACCUAACAAUUAGGUUAUUGUAUUUUUUUUGAAACAUUUUGGUAUCAAAGUCAGAGGGAGAUAGGUGUGUUGAAAGUAUAUAGCAUUUAUGACUAAAUUACAAAAAUUAUUUGAAUGAUGGUUGAAUUA